rnacentral:rRNA from 1 species
UGGGGAAUUUUGGACAAUGGGCGAAAGCCUGAUCCAGCAAUGCUGCGUGUGUGAAGAAGGCCUUCGGGUUGUAAAGCACUUUUGUCCGGAAAGAAAUCCUUGGCUCUAAUACAGUCGGGGGAUGACGGUACCGGGAAGAAUAAGCACCGGCUAACUACGUGCCAGCAGCCGCGGUAAUACGUAGGGUGCAAGCGUUAAUCGGAAUUACUGGGCGUAAAGCGUGCGCAGGCGGUUUGCUAAGACCGAUGUGAAAUCCCCGGGCUCAACCUGGGAACUGCAUUGGUGACUGGCAGGCUAGAGUAUGGCAGAGGGGGGUAGAAUUCCACGUGUAGCAGGUGAAAUGCGUAGAGAUGUGGAGGAAUACCGAUGGCGAAGGCAGCCCCCUGGGCCAAUACUGACGCUCAUGCACGAAAGCGUGGGGAGCAAACAGGAUUAGAUACCCUGGUAGUCCACGCCCUAAACGAUGUCAACUAGUUGUUGGGGAUUCAUUUCCUUAGUAACGUAGCUAACGCGUGAAGUUGACCGCCUGGGGAGUACGGUCGCAAGAUUAAAAGCUC